AAUCUAGUCACUUUGCUGUUCUCUACCUUGCCUUGCCUUGUCUGUGAGGUCUGGUGUCUUCUAUGUGACUCCUGCAUACUCAGUAACAUUCCAUCUUAGUGUCAGGUAAACAUGACCUUAGGGACAGCUUGAACAUUGAUAGAAAGGAGUGAACUUACUAAACAAAGUGGCUGCUGUAGUAGAAAGUCUUUUACUUCAGAACAAUGAACCUAAACUUUUAUGCUAAUGUUUGUCCAGACAACGCCAUGGGUAUGAAAUGCACAGGCAAAGUGCACGUCUGAAGAAAUACAUUGCUUUGUUAAGUUCUAACUCAAAUGUCCAACUCUCUCCCUCUAUGACAUGUUGCCUGAGUUUACAAAACAGAACUUCUCACCAUGUUUGAGUCCUCUUGCAUUGCAUGGCAGAAGUAUGUCUUCCUUAGACUUUUAUCUUUUGAUACAUGUUGAAGUGUCUUGAGGAUGAAGAAGUGUGUCUUGCAUUUCUGUAGCAUUAACUGUUUUGUAAAUCUGAGGCUGGACUUGCAGCUGUAUUGGUAAUCUAUCUUAGUCUUCAUCUCUCGCUUUUGAUUCUUGGUGUGGGUUUGUCCAAAAUAAGGAUACUUGACUGGAUAAUCUUUGUUAAUUUUACUAGAAUGUUAGCAAACUGGACAGAAUUGUUCACCUUUUGAGGGCAUCUCUGAGAAUGUGUCCAGUUGGCUUUAUUUUACACCUCAGAGACUUAAAGUCUAUCUUGAUGUUCACCAGACUUUUCUAAAAGCCUUUCUUUUCCUUAUUCUAUACUUUGACUAAGUUACCUGUGAAAAUAUAUUUUCACAGUCUUUAUUUUCAUAUAAAUAUACUCUCAGAAUGUUAAUAUAUUCUUUUUUAUUUAAUGAAUUAAGGGAUUUUGUGGUGGUGCAACUUUAAAAUACUGGUAGUAUAUUUGUCUUAUAUUUAGAUUCCAUAUAUUUACCAGUUAAGGUGUCAAUGUAAGCUGUAGCAAAGGUUGAACCCCAAAUCUCAAGAGUUCACAUGUUGGACAUUUCUUUCCUAGUUGUAGUGUAUGUAGUCAUAAGUGGGAGGGUCUCUGAAAUAGUCAUUCAGGCUUUAACUUUGGAGCCCGAGGUUUACGUAACAUUGUCACAGUACUAGAUGAAGAGAGACAAUAAAAACUUCUGAGGAAAUAUAUAAAAGGCCAGGCCUGGAAACAGCAAACCUCAGUGGCAGAGCUCACACGUAUGGCCACACUAAACAUCUAAGAAGAAAAAAGCAUAUACCAUAGGUAUAAUUCAGAAGUAAAAAGCAAAUAGAUUUGAUAAACCUGUGGUGCCUGGGUUUGAUUUCCAGCAGCUGUCUGGUGGCUCACAACCAUUUGUACAUCCAGGUCCAGGGAAUCAGAUGACAUCUUCUGGUCUCUGUGGACACAAAGUAUACAUACGGUGCACAUCCAUACAUGUAGGCAGAUACCGAGAGAUGAGGUUAAGAAGGUAGUGAAAGCCCUGCAUUCAGGGUUACCUUUUAUUGGGAGUAAAGUGGAAAACAGAAGGCUUCUGAGUACAGGUAUGGCAUGAUCUGACUUAAGUUGUUACGGAGUCAUGACCAUGUCACCUUGAAAAAUAGCACUCAGAUAAAAUAAAACUAAUAAAUCUAAUUCUAAAAAGCAAAACAAACCUCAGUGCUCAAAGUUUAAGUAACAGAAAGACUAAAUUGUUGUCAUUGAAGAUGUACAAGAUGAAUUUGGUUUGGUUGUAAACAAAUUUCUAAUGACUUUGUGGAUAAUCUAUAAUUUUUAUAAAGCAUAUUCUUGUGUUCUUGAUACCUGUAAAGUCAAAAUGGACUUUUUUCCUUUAUGUAGGUAAUAAAAACUUUAGAUCCCAAAUUAAAUCCAGCAUCAGCAGAAAUAAUGUUACUCAGAAAGCAGCUGGCGGAGAAGGAAAGAAGAAUUGAGAUUCUAGAGGUAACAUCUCCACAUUCAUUAGCGCCUCACCUCUCCAUGGAGUCCUGGGAGUUAACCUCUGUCGUGUUUGCCAUUCAUAAAACCUUUGUUAAUCAUGGUGGGAUCCUGAUAACUGGUUGAGUUCUUAGUUUUUUUUUCUUACACAAUUUUUAUACUAGUAUUUAAGUCAUUUUUGUAAAUAAAGGUGGAUGUGGUAUUGUACAGUUUUAAGUAAGAUUCAUUAAUUGCUUUUUUAGUUUCUAUGGUAAAAUAUUUUACAGGAUUACUAUUUUCAGAGUUACUAUUUUUGGAAUGGAUACAUACUCCUUUAGAGGCCAUGCUGAGCUGUGUUAUUUGACUUCCCCCAUGAACUAUGAUUGGCUUCUUCUCACAUAACUAGAACAGUUUGUUCAUACCCUUUACCUUGUAUGAUUUCCCACCAAAUAAUUAUGAGCUGUGAUGGAAUUAUUUUCACUCAAAACUUCUAACAUGUUCUUUCCUACACCCAGAAUCUAUAUACAAGGCUGGUGUGUGCCUGCUAUCAUCAUUUGUCCAGACAAUGCCAUGGGUAUGAAAUGCACAGGCAAAGUGCACGUCUGAAGAAAUACAUUGCUUUGUCAAGUUCUAACUCAUAUGUCCAACUCUCUCCCUCUAUGACAUGUUGCCUGUGUUUACAAAACAGAACUUCUCACCAUGUUUGAGUCCUCUUGCAUUGCAUGGCAGAAGUAUGCCUUCUUUAUAUUUAUAUCUUUAUCUAUUUAUAUUUUUAUCUUUUGAUACAUGUUGAAGUGUCUUGAGGAUGAAGAAGUGUGUCUUGCAUUUCUGUAGCAUUAACUGUUUUAUAAAUCUGAGGCUGGACUUGCAGCUGUAUUGGUAAUCUAUCUUAGUCUUCAUCUUUCGCUUUUGAUUCUUGGCAUGGGUUUGUCCUAUUUAAAGUAAGGAUACUUGACUGGAUAAUUUUUGAAAUCUUAGUUUUCCAAGUGUGUUGACCAUUCAUUUUACAGAGGGAACCAAUGCACACCAUUGCUAAUACUCAAAGUAUAUUCC
rnacentral:lncRNA from 1 species